rnacentral:rRNA from 1 species
GAUGAACGCUGGCGGCGUGCUUAACACAUGCAAGUCGAACGGGAUCCAGGCAGCUUGCUGCCUGGUGAGAGUGGCGAACGGGUGAGUAAUGCGUGACCGACCUGCCCCAUACACCGGAAUAGCUCCUGGAAACGGGUGGUAAUGCCGGAUGCUCCGACUCCUCGCAUGGGGUGUCGGGAAAGAUUUCAUCGGUAUGGGAUGGGGUCGCGUCCUAUCAGGUAGUCGGCGGGGUAACGGCCCACCGAGCCUACGACGGGUAGCCGGCCUGAGAGGGCGACCGGCCACAUUGGGACUGAGAUACGGCCCAGACUCCUACGGGAGGCAGCAGUGGGGAAUAUUGCACAAUGGGCGCAAGCCUGAUGCAGCGACGCCGCGUGCGGGAUGACGGCCUUCGGGUUGUAAACCGCUUUUGAUCGGGAGCAAGCCU